rnacentral:rRNA from 1 species
GACGAACGCUGGCGGCGUGCCUAAUACAUGCAAGUAGAACGCAGUUGCGAACGGGUGAGUAACGCGUAGGUAACCUGCCUCAUCUCUGGGGAUAACAAUUGGAAACGAUAGCUAAUACCGCAUACUGUCAGAUGGACCUGCGUUGUAUUAGCUAGUUGGUGAGCUAAAGGCUCACCAAGGCGACGAUACAUAGCCGACCUGAGAGGGUGAGCGGCCACACUGGGAAUGAGACAAGGUCCAGACUCCUACGGGAGGCAGCAGUGGGGAAUAUUGCACAAUGGGCGCAAGCCUGAUGCAGCCAUGCCGCGGGUAUGAAGAAGGCCUUCGGGUUGUAAAGUACUUUCAGCGGGGAGGCGUUACCCGCAGAAGAAGCACCGGAUAACUCCGUGCCAGCAGCCGCGGUAAUAC